CAGUCUGCUUACCAAGAGGCAUUACUUCACGUGCUGGCAGAUGUAGCAGCCACCUGCAGCCCCCUAACUCCCAGGCAGUUGGGAAGAAUCAUCCAGGAAGGAGCAUGUCAUAGGCCCUUUGCCUGAUCCCUAUCUGUGACUCACAUGCACUGGAGGUCUGAGAACCACCUGAGAACUCACUCCUUCCCAGGACUUCGUACUAGCAUAUAAAGCACAUCUAAGGUCCUAUACAACAGUGACCACAGGACCCCAGAUGCCAGUAGUUCCAUCAGGGUAUGUGUUGCUUAUACAUUUGCUGAAUCCUGGAAGAGAUGGACGAUGAUAAGAAUAAUAUUUCACAG